rnacentral:rRNA from 1 species
CCGGAUUUAUUGGGCGUAAAGGGUGCGUAGGCGGUUAAAUAAGUCUAUGGUAUAAGUUCAACGCUUAACGUUGUGAUGCUAUAGAAACUGUUUGACUAGAGUUGGAUAGAGGCAAGUGGAAUUCCAUGUGUAGCGGUAAAAUGCGUAAAUAUAUGGAGGAACACCAGUAGCGAAGGCGGCUUGCUGGGUCUUAACUGACGCUGAGGCACGAAAGCGUGGGGAGCAAACAGGAUUAGAUACCCUGGUAGUCCACGCCGUAAACGAUGAGUACUAAGUGUUGGGUUAAACCAGUGCUGAAGUUAACACAUUAAGUACUCCGCCUGAGUAGUACGUACGCAAGUAUGAAACUUAAAGGAAUUGACGGGACUCCGCACAAGCGGUGGAUCAUGUUGUUUAAUUCGAAGAUACACGAAAAACCUUACCAGGUCUUGACAUACUCUGCAAAGCUAUAGAAAUAUAGUGGAGGUUAUCAGGGAUACAGGUGGUGCAUGGUUGUCGUCAGCUCGUGUCGUGAGAUGUUGGGUUAAGUCCCGCAACGAGCGCAACCCUUAUCACUAGUUACCAUCAUUUAGUUGGGCACUUUAGUGAGACUGCCAAUGAUAAAUUGGAGGAAGGUGGGGAUUACGUCAAAUCAUCAUGCCCCUUAUGACCUGGGCUACAAACGUGAUACAAUGGCUGUUACAAAGAGUAGCUGAAACGUGAGUUUUUAGCAAAUCUCAAAAAAACAGUCUCAGUUCGGAUUGAAGUCUGCAACUCGACUUCAUGAAGUCGGAAUCGCUAGUAAUCGCGAAUCAGCAUGUCGUGGUGAAUACGUUCUCGGGGUUUGUACACACCGCCCGUCAAACCACGAAAGUUGACAAUACCCAAAACCAGUAGCCUAACUUGCAAAAGAGGGAACUGUCUAAGGUAGGGUUGAUGAUUGGGGUUAAGUCGUAACAAGGUAUCCCUACCGGAAGGUGGGGAUGGAUCACCUCCUUUCUAAGGAAAAUAUCAUCUUCAGUUGUGAAAGACUUAAAAAAAGUUUUUUAUUUUUUAAGAUAAAAAUCAAUAAUGGCUUGGGCCUAUAGCUCAGUUGGUUAGAGCACACGCCUGAUAAGCGUGAGGUCGAUGGUUCGAGUCCAUUUAGGCCCACCAA